GCUGUUUUGAGCCUUGGCUUGCUUCAUCUGAGAAGAUGAACCCUGUCAGGCCAUUACAACUGCAUGGAGUGGGACUCCUUCAUUCUUUUCUGUUGGCAUUGACCACAUACUAAUAAUAAUAUAUUUGUAGGGGAAGGUAUAAUGGAAGGAAGGAGGAGAGUACCUAUAGCCCUGUGAUCAGUGAGCUUUCCUGGGCCAGGGUAGUAGGCUGAAGUUCAGGUACAUAGUCCAAAUCAAGCAAAACAGGAACUGGGACUGGGCUGCAAGGUAGCAGCUAUGCUGAUUGUUGGCUCCACUGAAGUAGAUAGAUAGUUUGAGAAUCAUCCUACCUAUUGCCUGCCUGAACCAAGAACCAGAUCCUAGAGAAGGACUGUGCCAUACUAGCUGGUUGCAGAUCUCAUGGGAUCCUAAUAUUGAGAGAGAUCUAACAGAAAUGAAAUCCAGGACCGUGCCAAUGACCAACACUGCUCGCAGGCAGCUUCAGAUUGCUGAGUAAGAUCAGGGUGAGAGUGGAACCCUACAGAGCACAAAAAAUAAAUGCUCUGGGAGAAGGACA
rnacentral:lncRNA from 1 species